CCUACGGGGGCUGCAGUGAGGAAUAUUGGUCAAUGUGCGUAAGCCUGAACCAGCCAAGUCGCGUGAGGGAUGAAGGUUCUAUGGAUCGUAAACCUCUUUUAUAAGGGAAUAAAGUGUGGGACGUGUCCUAUUUUGUAUGUACCUUAUGAAUAAGGAACGGCUAACUCCGUGCCAGCAGACGCGGUAAUACGGAGGAUCCGAGCGUUAUCCGGAUUUAUUGGGUUUAAAGGGUGCGUAGGGGGCCUUUUAAGUCAGCGGUGAAAGUCUGUGGCUCAACCAUAGAAUUGCAGUUGAAACUGGGGGGCUUGAGUAUGGUUGAGGCAGGCGGAAUGAGUGGUGUAGCGGUGAAAUGCUUAGAUAUCACGCAGAACCCCGAUUGCGAAGGCAGCCUGCCAGGCCAUGACUGACGCUGAUGCACGAAAGCGUGGGGAUCAAACAGGAUUAGAUACCCGUGUAGUC
rnacentral:rRNA from 1 species